GUGCCAGCAGCCGCGGUAAUACAGAGGCCUCGAGCGUUGUUCGGAUUUACUGGGCGUAAAGGGAAUGUAGGCGGUAGCGUAAGUCAGAUGUGAAAGCCCUAGGCUUAACCUGGGAAAUGCAUUUGAUACUGUGCUGCUAGAGUGCGAGAGAGGAAAGUGGAAUUCCAGGUGUAGGGGUGAAAUCCGUAGAUAUCUGGAGGAAUACCAAUGGCGAAGGCAGCUUUCUGGCUCGUAACUGACGCUGAGAUUCGAAAGCGUGGGUAGCAAACAGGAUUAGAUACCCGAGUAGUCC
rnacentral:rRNA from 1 species